UCGAACGGUAGCACAGAGAGCUUGCUCUCGGGUGACGAGUGGCGGACGGGUGAGUAAUGUCUGGGAAACUGCCUGAUGGAGGGGGAUAACUACUGGAAACGGUAGCUAAUACCGCAUAACGUCGCAAGACCAAAGAGGGGGACCUUCGGGCCUCUUGCCAUCAGAUGUGCCCAGAUGGGAUUAGCUAGUAGGUGGGGUAACGGCUCACCUAGGCGACGAUCCCUAGCUGGUCUGAGAGGAUGACCAGCCACACUGGAACUGAGACACGGUCCAGACUCCUACGGGAGGCAGCAGUGGGGAAUAUUGCACAAUGGGCGCAAGCCUGAUGCAGCCAUGCCGCGUGUAUGAAGAAGGCCUUCGGGUUGUAAAGUACUUUCAGCGGGGAGGAAGGUGUUGAGGUUAAUAACCUUAUUAAUUGACGUUACCCGCAGAAGAAGCACCGGCUAACUCCGUGCCAGCAGCCGCGGUAAUACGGAGGGUGCAAGCGUUAAUCGGAAUUACUGGGCGUAAAGCGCACGCAGGCGGUCUGUCAAGUCGGAUGUGAAAUCCCCGGGCUCAACCUGGGAACUGCAUUCGAAACUGGCAGGCUGGAGUCUUGUAGAGGGGGGUAGAAUUCCAGGUGUAGCGGUGAAAUGCGUAGAGAUCUGGAGGAAUACCGGUGGCGAAGGCG
rnacentral:rRNA from 1 species